rnacentral:rRNA from 1 species
UACGGGGGGGGCAAGCGUUGUUCGGAAUUACUGGGCGUAAAGGGCUCGUAGGCGGCCCUCUAAGUCGGAUGUGAAAUCCCCAGGCUCAACCUGGGAAUGGCAUCCGAUACUGGAGGGCUUGAAUCCGGGAGAGGGAUGCAGAAUUCCAGGUGUAGCGGUGAAAUGCGUAGAUGUCUGGAGGAAUACCGGUGGCGAAGGCGGCAUCCUGGACCGGCAUUGACGCUGAGGAGCGAAAGCUAGGGGAGCAAACGGG